CGGACGGGUGAGUAACGCGUGAGAAUCUGCCCUCAGGAGGGGGAUAACGGCUGGAAACGGCCGCUAAUACCCCAUAUGCCGAGAGGUGAAAUGAAUUUCGCCUGAGGAUGAGCUCGCGUCUGAUUAGCUAGUUGGUGGGGUAAAGGCCUACCAAGGCAUCGAUCAGUAGCUGGUCUGAGAGGAUGAUCAGCCACACUGGGACUGGGACACGGCCCAGACUCCUACGGGAGGCAGCAGUGGGGAAUUUUCCGCAAUGGGCGAAAGCCUGACGGAGCAACGCCGCGUGAGGGAUGAAGGCCUCUGGGCUGUAAACCUCUUUUAUCAAGGAAGAAGAUCUGACGGUACUUGAUGAAUAAGCCACGGCUAAUUCCGUGCCAGCAGCCGCGGUAAUACGGGAGUGGCAAGCGUUAUCCGGAAUUAUUGGGCGUAAAGCGUCCGCAGGCGGUCUUUUAAGUCUGUCGUCAAAGCGUGGAGCUUAACUCCAUUACUGCGAUGGAAACUGGAAGACUAGAGUGUGGUAGGGGCAGAGGGAAUUCCCGGUGUAGCGGUGAAAUGCGUAGAUAUCGGGAAGAACACCAGUGGCGAAGGCGCUCUGCUGGGCCAUAACUGACGCUCAUGGACGAAAGCCAGGGGAGCGAAAGGGAUUAGAUACCCCUGUAGUCCUGGCCGUAAACGAUGAACACUAGGUGUCGGGGGAAUCGACCCCCUCGGUGUCGUAGCCAACGCGUUAAGUGUUCCGCCUGGGGAGUACGCACGCAAGUGUGAAACUCAAAGGAAUUGACGGGGGCCCGCACAAGCGGUGGAGUAUGUGGUUUAAUUCGAUGCAACGCGAAGAACCUUACCAGGGUUUGACAUCCUGCGAAUCCCUUGGAAACGAGGGAGUGCCUUCGGGAGCGCAGUGACAGGUGGUGCAUGGCUGUCGUCAGCUCGUGUCGUGAGAUGUGGGGUUAAGUCCCGCAACGAGCGCAACCCACGUCGUUAGUUGCCAGCAUUUAGUUGGGCACUCUAGCGAGACCGCCGGUGAUAAACCGGAGGAAGGUGUGGAUGACGUCAAGUCAUCAUGCCCCUUACAUCCUGGGCUACACACGUACUACAAUGCUACGGA
rnacentral:rRNA from 1 species